UCCCUGGUGGUCUAGUGGUUAGGACUCAGCACUUUCACUGCUGUGGUCCAGGUUCAGUUCCUGGUCUGGGAA
rfam:Sus scrofa chromosome 5.